rnacentral:rRNA from 1 species
UGUCUCCUUUUUCUAAUCAGUGAAACUAAUCUCCCCGUGAAGAAGCGGGGAUACUAAUAUAAGACGAGAAGACCCCAUGGAGCUUCAAACCCAACUACACCCCCAACCCCUAUAACUACUAAAUCCUUGAGGCCCUGUAUCGUUGGUUUUAGGUUGGGGCGACCACGGAGUACAACAAAACCUCCACAAUGAACGGAAUUAAUUCCUAAUCUAAGAACUACAUCUCUAAGAAUUAAAACACUAACAUGAAAUGAUCCAUUUUUUGAUUAAUGAACCAAGUUACCCUGGGGAUAACAGCGCAAUCCAUUUCAAGAGCCCCUAUCGACAAAUGGGUUUACGACCUCGAUGUUGGAUCAGGGUAUCCUAGUGGUGCAGCAGCUACUAACGGUUCGUUUGUUCAACGAUUAAAANNG